rnacentral:sRNA from 1 species
AAUGUUCAGAACAACUUUAUUUGUAAUAAAUUCAAGCUAGGAAGACCCCAAAUGUCCAUCCAAUGGUGACUAGACGAACAGACUGUAGUCCAUCAGUGCAAUGGACAGAUUCGACCACGAAAAGGAAUGAACAUCAGACACACGAAGCAGACAGGAUGUCUGUGAUUGCAUCACAUGCUGCUCCUGUGUUGUUUUAUCGUUGACAUCUUCCACUUGCACACUUCAAAAAUAGUCAUUGAAAGGAUGGAGCAGGGGCACUGUUGUGAGGGGCACGUGCUGUCACCACCGCUGCUGGUGAUUCAGUGUCUAGGCAGCGCCACAUGGUUUCUGAGAUGCUGCAUUUGUCUUUUUUUUUUUUUUUUUUUUUGAGACAGAGUCGCCCAAAUUGCAAGACAGAGUUGCUCCACCACAUGUGGUCACACUUCCUGCCCCUCAAUCCGGACGCAUGAGUAAUUUCUGUCCCUCUCCCCCCCUCACAGGGACUUCCUUCCCCGCGGUUCAGGAAUCGUCACCCGGCGGCCUCUCAUUCUGCAGCUCAUCUUC